AGUGAACGCUGGCGGUAGGCCUAACACAUGCAAGUCGAACGGCAGCACAGUAAGCGCUUGCUCUUACGGGUGGCGAGUGGUGGACGGGUGAGUAAUCCAUCGGAAUCUACUUUUUCGCGGGGGAUAACGUAGGGAAACUUACGCUAAUACCGCAUACGACCUACGGGUGAAAGCAUGGGAUCUUCGGACCUUGCGCGAUUGAAUGAGCCGAUGUCGGAUUAGCUAGUUGGCGGGGUAAAGGCCCACCAAGGCGACGAUCCGUAGCUGGUCUGAGAGGAUGAUCAGCCACACUGGAACUGAGACACGGUCCAGACUCCUACGGGAGGCAGCAGUGGGGAAUAUUGGACAAUGGGCGCAAGCCUGAUCCAGCCAUACCGCGUGGGUGAAGAAGGCCUUCGGGUUGUAAAGCCCUUUUGUUGGGAAAGAAAAGCAGCAGGUUAAUACCCCGCUGUUCUGACGGUACCCAAAGAAUAAGCACCGGCUAACUUCGUG
rnacentral:rRNA from 1 species